ACUUAUUUCCCCUUUUCUGAUCGCUUCCCAGAUCCCGAUGCUCUUCGAGGCGCAAUGGAGCUGCAACGGCAAUGGUGUUGCAGAUCUGUAGGGUUUGCUGUGGCCAUUCCGAUGGAAGGGAAGAUGUAGAUGGUCCGGAGAUUGGCAACUGGUUUAAUCGCUUCUAUUUCCCUCCUUCCGCCGAUUGGGAUUUGAAUAGACUUAUUUCCCGCUUCCUAAAUCCCGAUGCUCUUCAAGGCGCAACGGAGCAACAGCGACGAAGGUGUUGCAGAUCCAUAGGGUUUUUUGUGGCCAUUCCGAUGGAAGGGAAGAUGUAGAUGGUCCUGAGAUCGACAACUGAUUUAAUCAAAAUGGCAAUCAAAAUUGAGGAUCUUAGAGAUCAAACAUGCUUGAUCUUGUUGGAAUGUGGUUAUUCUAUCAAGACGAGGAAGAUCGGUAACAGAUCUAAUAAUGACUAGCG